AUACAGAGGGUGCGAGCGUUAAUCGGAAUUACUGGGCGUAAAGCGCGCGUAGGCGGCUACUUAAGUCAGAUGUGAAAUCCCCGGGCUCAACCUGGGAACUGCAUCUGAUACUGGGUAGCUAGAGUUUUGGAGAGGGAAGUAGAAUUUCAGGUGUAGCGGUGAAAUGCAUAGAGAUCUGAAGGAAUACCAGUGGCGAAGGCGACUUCCUGGCCAAAAACUGACGCUGUGGUGCGAAAGCGUGGGUAGCAAACGGGAUUAGAAACCCUAGUAGUCC
rnacentral:rRNA from 1 species